AUUGAACGCUGGCGGCAUGCUUUACACAUGCAAGUCGAACGGGCUUAGGGGCUUGCUCCUAAGUUAGUGGCGAACGGGUGAGUAAUGCAUCGGAACGUACCGUGUAGUGGGGGAUAACCCGGCGAAAGUCGGAUUAAUACCGCAUACGAUCUAAGGAUGAAAGCAGGGGAUCGCAAGACCUUGCGCUAUACGAGCGGCCGAGGUCGGAUUAGCUAGCUGGUAGGGGAAAGGACUACCAAGGCAACGAUCCGUAGCGGGUCUGAGAGGAUGAUCCUCCACACUGGGACUGAGACACGGCCCAGACUCCUACGGGCGGCAGCAGUGGGGAAUUUUGUACAAUGGGCGAAAGCCUGAUCCAGCCAUGCCGCGUGAGUGAAGAAGGCCUUCGGGUUGUAAAGCUCUUUUGUCCGGGAGCAAAUCCUGUUCACUAAUACUGAGCGGGGCUGAGAGUACCGGAAGAAUAAGCACCGGCUAACUACGUGCCAGCCGCCGCAGUAAAAC
rnacentral:rRNA from 1 species